CCCCCCCCCCAAAGCCGACCUUCAUCUUAACUCCUUCCUGACCAGGGUGGCUACUGAAGAGGCGCAUUCCUCACUCUUGUUCCUGGGCCUCAAGGAAGAGGAGAAAAGGUGCACUAGAUAAUGCCCCAACUGAGCAGCUCUGCAGAGGCAGUCACUGAUACAACCAUUUUCAUUUCCUGAUUGGACUCCUGGGAAAAACUCAACUGAUGACCAAGAAAAGAGCCAAGCAGGUGGAAAUCCAUGAGGCCCUUAACAUCAAUCUGGAGACCAGUGCAAGAAAGUUUCUGGAGAAGGAACUGAGGCUCUGAGCAAAGAGGGGACUUGAGCUAGAGGCAUCCUGACUCAGUUACAUCCUUCUUUCCACUCCCCAGAAGGUUUUCUGGGUAAGUCUGGACUUGGGAUGGUCUUAAAAGUUGACAGGCAUCAGAGAAACAAUGGAGGUUCUUCAAGCAGGGAUACGGAUUGGGGAUUCAGGGGAAGAGAGUAUGAAAUUGGCCCAGAUGAACACCGGAUCCCUCUGAGUGGGGAGAAAGCCCUGAUUCUAUACACUAAGGAUUCCUAACCCAGCCUGGUGGGGCAGAAGAGGUUGGAGAGGGCUUCCCGGAGAAAGUGGCAUCUAGGCUGAGACCUGAAUGAUGAACAGGUGUUGGCUAGACCUCCCAGGGAGAAGAAAUAUGAGCGCAUUUGGGGAACUGGAAUUGGUUCAACCAGGCAGGAGCAGAGUGUGUUAAAA